rnacentral:lncRNA from 1 species
AUGAAAUCCUUUAGCGCUCUGCGAACUCCAUCGCACCCCCUGAAACUCGGUCCCAGCACGUUUGGACGGAGAGAAGGUAUGAAGCGGGUGUGUGGAAGGGAUAUGGUCUCUCUUCAUCGUAACCCUGAUUCCCACCAGGAGGAACCCAGGCGUUGGGGCACCGUCUCCCUCCACACAGGAGCAGACGACCCAGAAGAGGGCAGCUGGGCUUCAGCCUGGGCAGGAAAUGGGAACAUCUCCAUCCAGGUCCAAGGAACCAUUUGGGAGAAGCUCCAGACCAUGCAAGGAGAAAAGAGAAACACAAAUGCUCUCCCUGGUAAGCAAUUGACAGAACGCAGAGAUUCCACUUAAACAGCAAGCAAGAUGGAGAGGUGAAAGGAGCGGGCGUUGACCAGCCCAAGGGCACAGGUAAGGUCGUUGAAUUUCCACCUCUGGUGUCCUUUCCACUUAGAGAGAUGCACAUCUGGAGGCAGGGGGAUGACGGUGGCCUUUGGAGCUUUGGUUUUGUACCUUGAUGGUAUUUCCGUAUUUCCAGAUGAGGAAAAUGAAGGCGGGAAAGAUUCUGUGACUCUUUGGCAGAAGGACAGUGUCCAAACUCAUCAGAAUCCAGUGUCUCGACUCUUUCUAGUGUGUGCUCUUUCUAGAAAGUCUGCUGCCUCUUCCUUGGAGUUGUGUAUUCUGGGUACUGGGAAGAUAAAAUAAGACCGAAUCUAGAAUUCAUGUGCACACGCUGGAUUGGAAUGGGAUGGCGGGGCCCCAGGGGAGGCUUCCAGCUCUGAGUCUAAGAUGCUGCAGGGGCGCCAUCUAGUUGGAGAGAUUCCUUCAGAAUCAUAAAGCCUCCGUUAAAGUUAAUAGGAGUUUCCGUCGUGGCUUAGCAGGUAAAGGAACCGACCUUGUCUCUCUGAGGAUGCAGAUUUGAUCCCUGGCCUCGCUCAGUGGGUUAAGGAUCAGCAUUGCUGCAAGCUGCAGCAUAGGUCACAGAUGCAGCUUGGAUCCAGUGUUGCCAUGGCUGUGGUGUAGACUGCAGCUGCAGCUCUGAUUCAACCCUUGGCCCAGAACUUCCAUAUGCCACAGAUGAGGCCGUAAAGGAAAAAAAAAAAAAAAAAGAAAGAAAAGAAAAGAAAAGACAAAAAGUUGAUAUAGCAUAGGGGUCAAGGCAGGAAGGACCUUAUCAGAGAAUGCUUCCUAGGAAGGGACCCGAGGCAAUAAAUACUCACUGUUAAUUCUGAGUUGAUCA